rnacentral:lncRNA from 1 species
UCAAUUGCUUGCUCGUGUCUCCAAAGGAGUUCCUCAGACAAUGACAGGUUUGGGGUUGAAAGUUUUCCCAGUGAUUUCUUAUGCCUCCAAGUGUAUGGGGAACAGAAGGGAAAGUUAUGUUCUGAAGAAAAGGAGUAUAACAUUGCAAAUUCCGCACAGAAACAAUUUUGCACUUCCUGCCACGCUCGGAUUUCCAUCAGCCACUCUAAAAUUGAGGCUUUCGCUUCAUUAAAUAAGGAGCCACAACUGCCCCGUGUCUCAGAAAUUCCCGGAUCCAGCCCCGCCCCCCAACUUCGUGCCGCGCCCCCAGGUCCCAGCGGUCCCCCUGGUCGCAGCCUCGCGGCUCCGAGCAUCCGCGUCUUCUCCGCUCGGUGUUUUCAGCCAAACCGUUCUCAACUCUCCGGUUCCAACAUUAGUGGCCCGCGCGUCUCUAAUUCUGCACAUGGCCUGGUUCUAAAGGACACGAGACCCAUUCACAGGAUCCAAAGCAGAGAAGCAGAGCCUCUCCGAGAGAAAAAGGCCAGACCUGCCGCCCACCAGCAACCUCGCUGCCCCGCCCUGCGAACGACCCAGACGCGCCCCCUGGCGGCCCUGCCCUGGUGCGCACGCGCGGGUCGCUUAGACCCGGAAGCGGUUCCUGAGAAACGACGGGCGCACGGGGGCGUGUGCGUCUCGGAAUUUUGGUUCGUUACCGCGCUAUGCGCAGGCCCUGCUUCUCCACACCCAGCUUGCGGGGUCUCUCGAAUAAUCUUCCUUGAAGAAUCCUGCGAGAAGCUCAGAGAAGGAGGAAAGAAGAAGGAAUGGAGCUUUCAGAGGUAACAAGCAUAUUAUUUGUUGAUCUCUUAUUCUUUUACUAAAAUGACGCAAUUUGGACUUGUUUUUCUGCUCUGUUGUCUGUUUGUUUGUUUGUUUUGUUUUUUGGCUUUUUAGGGCUGAAUCGAGGCAUAUGGAAGUUCCCAGGCACAAUGAAAAAGAAAACAUCCUGGUUUUUUUGUUUGUUUGUUUGUUUUUUGUUUUGUUUGUUUGUUUUUUUUUUUUUUAAGGCCACACUUGCGACAUAUGGAGGUUCCCAGGCUAGGGAUCCGAUUGGACCUGCAGCUGCUGGCCUACACCACAGCCGCAGCAACUGGGGAUCCCAGCCAUGUCUGUGAUCUACACCACAGCUCAUAGCCAUACCAGAUCCUUAACCCACUGAGCAGGGCCAGGGAUUGAACCUGUGUCCUCUUGGAUACUAGUAACCCGGGAAUGCCUAUCUCGUGAUCCUGGGUGGAAGACUUAGAGUGGUUAUGAUGGCAAUAUUUGCCAAAGUGAUAUAAAAAUUCAAAGUAAUCCCCUUCACAAUCCCAGCAGCCUUUUUUAUACAAGUGAGAACCUGAACUUAUAAUUCACAUGGAUUUGGUUCGGACCCCAAAUACCCAAAGUAAAUGUGAAAAGUACAGAAUUGGAGGGCUUACCCUCAUAACCUCAAACCUGACUGCAAAGCAGGGUUAAACAAAACUGCAGUUCCAGGAGUUCCCCUCAUGGCUCAGCGGAAACGAAUCUGACUAGCAUCCAUGAGGAUGCAGGUUCGAUCCCUGGCCUUGCUCAGUAGGUUAAGUAUCUGGCGUUGUCGUGAGCUGUGUUGUAGGUCGCAGACACAGCUCAGAUCGGGCAUGGCUGUGUCUGUGGCGUAGGCCAGUGGCUACAGCCUUGAUUCCACCCCUAGCCUGGGAACCUCCAUGUGCCUUGAGUGUGGCCCUCAAAAGCAAAAAAAAAAAAAAAUUAAAUUAAAAAAAAUUUUUAGAAAGAUAAAAAAAACCCCUGCAGUUCCAGCAUGAGAAGAGAAAUAUAGAUCAAAGUGACAGACUAAGAGUCUAGAAAUAAACCCAUCUCUCUACAGUCUAUUCCUUUUUAC